rnacentral:rRNA from 1 species
CAGGCCUAACACAUGCAAGUCGAACGCGCUUGGACCUUUGGGGAGGCCCGCGAGUGGCGAACGGGUGCGUAACACGUGAGCGACCUGCCGGGUUGUGGGGGAUAACCGGGGGAAACCCCGGCUAAUACCGCAUGGGUUCUGGUUUCUUCAUGGAGACCGGAGCAAAGGUCUCGCAAGGCCCUGCCCUUUGAGGGGCUCGCGGCGUAUCAGGUAGUUGGUGGGGUAACGGCCCACCAAGCCGACGACGCGUAGGGGGUCUGAGAGGAUGGCCCCCCACAUUGGGACUGAGAUACGGCCCAGACUCCUACGGGAGGCAGCAGUGGGGAAUCUUGCGCAAUGGUCUAACGACUGACGCAGCGACGCCGCGUGCGGGAGGACGCCUUUCGGGGUGUAAACCGCUGUCAGCAGGGACAAAGGGAGGCAAUGCCCUUGUCUGACGGUACCUGCAGAGGAAGCACCGGCUAACUCCGUGCCA